rnacentral:rRNA from 1 species
AUUGAACGCUGGCGGCAGGCCUAACACAUGCAAGUCGAGCGGAUGAAGGGAGCUUGCUCCUGGAUUCAGCGGCGGACGGGUGAGUAAUGCCUAGGAAUCUGCCUGGUAGUGGGGGAUAACGUCCGGAAACGGGCGCUAAUACCGCAUACGUCCUGAGGGAGAAAGUGGGGGAUCUUCGGACCUCACGCUAUCAGAUGAGCCUAGGUCGGAUUAGCUAGUUGGUGGGGUAAAGGCCUACCAAGGCGACGAUCCGUAACUGGUCUGAGAGGAUGAUCAGUCACACUGGAACCGAGACACGGUCCAGACUCCUACGGGAGGCAGCAGUGGGGAAUAUUGGACAAUGGGCGAAAGCCUGAUCCAGCCAUGCCGCGUGUGUGAAGAACGUCUUCGGAUUGUAAAGCACUUUAAGUUGGGAGGAAGGGCAGUAAGUUAAUACCUUGCUGUUUUGACGUUACCAACAGAAUAAGCACCGGCUAACUUCGUG